AUCGCUUCUCGGCCUUUUGGCUAAGAUCAAGUGUAGUAUCUGUUCUUAUCAGUUUAAUAUCUGAUACGUCCCCUACCCGGGGACCAUAUAUUAAAUUGAUUUUUGGAGCAGGGACAUGGAAUAGGGGCUUGCUCCGUCCACUCCACGCAUCGACCUGGUAUUGCAGUAUUGCAGAGUUGGCAACUCUA
ensembl:snRNA U2 U2 spliceosomal RNA